rnacentral:rRNA from 1 species
UUAUCCGGAUUUAUUGGGUUUAAAGGGUGCGUAGGCGGCAAGGUAAGUCAGCGGUGAAAGACCAGGGCUCAACUCUGGAAGUGCCGUUGAUACUGUCUGGCUAGAAUGAUCCCGCCGUGGGAGGAAUGAGUAGUGUAGCGGUGAAAUGCAUAGAUAUUACUCAGAACACCGAUUGCGAAGGCAUCUCACGAGGGGUUCAUUGACGCUGAGGCACGAAAGCGUGGGGAUCGAACAGGAUUAGAUACCCUGGUAGUCCACGCAGUAAACGAUGAUGGCUAACUGUCGGGCCUUCGGGUUCGGCGGCCAAGCGAAAGCGAUAAGCCAUCCACCUGGGGAGUACGACCGCAAGGUUGAAACUCAAAGGAAUUGACGGGGGCCCGCGCAAGCGGAGGAACAUGUGGUUUAAUUCGAUGAUACGCGAGGAA